UAGGAGGCCGCUCAGGGAAGCACGACGACUUCAACGAUGACGCAAGAGUCAUGCAAAAUUAUACAUAUAUAUUGAAAGUCCACCCGGAAGGCAAGAGCCAUCCUAUCGGCCUCUAAGUGCACAAGGGAACUAGAAAUCAAAGAGAAAGAAAGGCCAAGAGGAUUAAAAAAAAUAAUUUAGAAGGCGUCCGGAGUGGGGGUGGGGGUCCUGAGCUGGAAGGCAGGGACUCCUGGUUUAUUGCUUAGUCUCCCCCACCACCCCCACACCUUUCACAGCACGAGCUUGAAUCAUUUUCUAUAAAACUGGUGACUAAGAGAGAGACAGCGUGUCGAACCGUUGAAGCACCCCCAACCAGCCAGAAAAGGGACUCCGGUCGCCGCAAAUGUACCUGUGCUCCCCCUGGAGGUGACAUUCUCCUAGGCCCCCUUUAGGUCUUAAGUGUCCCUCCUAGGGGAUUCUGUUGUGAUGUCUGAGAAGUGAUACCCUCACGUGCCUGUGAUCCAAGCAGCAUCCCCCGCCCCUCUGUCUGGCAUAGCAAGAAAACACCCGUCUGGCCAGGUCUGGUUCUCCAGCCAACACUGCUGCUUUGAACAUUGGGAAGUGGAGGUAAGAGUGCAUUCCACGCUGACACGGCACCGCACCCCUGUCCCCAGCUUGCUGACUUGAGGGAAAUUGCUUCCUUUCAUCGAUUCACAGCAUUAGAAAAUGCUGUGUUGAGAAGCAGCAUGGAGGUCAUUUGGACCAUGGCCCUUAG
rnacentral:lncRNA from 1 species